UUUGGUUUCCACUUUAAGAUAAGUAGCAUGAGGUAUGUGGCAAAAAUAUAGUAGUAGUCAUGAAGUGGUCCACAAGCGAUCUCCUCUGAUGUGUGUACCUAAAAAUUUUUGUUCAGACAAGGCACUACUGCAAACCCUCCAUUAUCUAGCCCUUAUCCCUAAUCCUAACAAAUCCUGAUGAGGUCAUGAAUCAGGCCACUAAUCUAUUCG
rnacentral:lncRNA from 1 species